UGCUGGCUCCUGACCGCUCUCAAAAAGUCAAUGAGGGAACCUGCUGAAGAGGGGACACCAUAAUCUGGCCAGCUCAGGAACUGAAAGUUGGUCACUGUGAGGAAGCCAAAUCGGAUCCGAGAGUCUUUUUCUAAAGGCCAGUACUGGCCACACUUUCUCCUGCCGCCCUCCUCAAAGCUGAAGACACACAGAACAAAGGGCCCUUGGAUGAUAGAAGAAUAAGAAAGGCACAGCACCCAGGAUGCCAGCAGGAAGUUUUUGUAAAGGCCUGAAGUCUACCUCCACUGCACUUCAGUGGCUCCAAAGUACUCCAAGGUGAUGCUUUUUCCAUGACCUCCUCUCCAAAUCAAAGGCUGUUGUAACAGUGCCAUGAAAAAGGGAAAUGAGCUAACACUGUAAUUAAAUUUUGUUCUCAUCUGAAAUAGUGGUAA